UGAUUUAUCUUCCAGGCCACUUUAUUACAAGUUUUAGAAUAUCAUGUGGAAUGGUUAGAAGAAAUUGGAUUUUCACACAAUCAGGGACGAUGGUUUUACGCUCUUCUAGUUUGCCUGGAGAAACCGCUAUUGCCCGAAACCACGUCUUUACUUCGCACACUUGCCAGGCUUUCUGCGACUUUGAGAGCGUCACUGGUAUUUUGGGCAGAGUGACUUAGCAGAUCCCGGAUGAAGGCGCAUUACUCCUCAUUAAGACACAAGUUACAAAGGCAUUGCAGAGUAGUUGGUUUGCUUAUUUUUGGCAGUGUCCCACCGGUUGAGAUUAACAAUACCUUUGGCCAUCGCUUGAAAUGUCACUCAAAGUCUAAUAAAAAGCUGUAGAGAGCGAACUCUCCAUAAAAUACGGUGACCACGUUUGUAAACGACCAGCUAGUCUAAGCGGCCACGGGAAACUUCUUAAUGUUAGCCUUGCUCAGGUGAAACAUACCACUGACCUUUUCACCCAAGAGUGGUCCUGAAAACCUCUUAACCUUGAAAUUUGUCAUUUAUUCGAUUAGUUAGUAAUAAUGCAACUGCCAGCACUAGUACUACUAUCAAUAGCGUUUUUUGAGGGCAUGUAAGGACGAGGCCAGGAGAGCGAAUCUUGGACGUGAAGAGAAACGUGUCGUCCACGGUUAACUUAACACACGGCAUUUCCUCUCAGUAACAUCCGAAUAUUUAAUGCUCAAGAACUAAAACAAUGUUAUAAAAGUAGCUACAAAAUAAAAAGACCUUUAUGUAAACUAACUACCAAUUCGAGUACAAAAUAAUUAAAAGUCAAAGUUCUCAUUUUUA